rnacentral:tRNA from 1 species
GUUCCUGUAGUUGAAUUACAACGGUGGUUUUUCGAGUCGCUAGUUCUGGUUAAAGUCCUGAUGGGAAUU